UCAUUUUAAGUUUUUCAAAUACGGCGCCCAUUUGCAAUGAGUUGGCAGCACCAGCAUUACAACACUGCGCUGUGCCGGCCGCCACACUUUGGUGAAUAAAACACGAUGAAUUAGAACAAGUGGAGUGCAAGGCGGCACUCAAAUAACAUGACUUUAUUAGCUACUACGCUGGAAACUAAGCAAUAUAUUUGCAUCGUGGAGUGCCAAAAUAUGGCGGUCAGCUGUACUAGCUUGGGUGUGGGGUCAAGGCACGAGACGCCGGGACACACACGGCUUAUAGUUGGACAUUUGUGAUGUGCCUUGAUGGGUAGGUAAUGCCUAGGACGCAUCUGAAGAAUAUAUAAUUAAAAAAGGAUCAUGACAAAAAUACGUCAGCUGAUACAUCGUAGCAAGGACUCUUAGCUGAACCAAGGAUAUUCCAAUCGUUCAAGUGCUUUGGAAACUAUUGCUUUAUAAGGAAAACCAUAGCAGAAGCUGAACUAUAAGGAGUUUUAUGCGAAAUCAAAAAUGGGCAUUACUCCCGGAUGACUUGCAGGAUCAUAACAAAAACACAUCAGUUGAUGCAUAGUAGCAAGGACUGUUAGCUAACCAAAGGAUGUUCCAAUCGUCCAAGCAUAUGGACGAAGCUAUGGUAAAAUUUCGUUUGAGGACAUAUUUUUAAAAACUGAACAGCUAGUUGCAGGACAUGAGUAAUGUCCUUGGGUAGGGGCUGAAGUAUAAGAAGUUGUAUCCUAAAUAAAAAGUGUGUAUUACUCCCGGAUGGCUUGCAGGAUCAGGACAACAAUAUAUCUGUUGAUACAUCGUAGCUGGGACUGUUAGCUGACCCAAGGACCUUUCCAAUCAUUCCAGUAUUUUCGAGUUUAUGCCUAAUUUUAAGUAGCAGCGUUUGCUGCUUUUAUCCUUGUAAUCUAAAA